CAAGAAAUAGUUUAAUUAAAAUAUUAAUUUUGGAGAUUAAUGAUAAAGGUAUUUUCUUUUUUCUUGA
rnacentral:tRNA from 1 species